UACCUGCAGCUCAAGUGGUGGCCGCUAUUAUUGGGCCUAAAACGUCCGUAGCCGGUUUAAUAAAUGCCCGGGUAAAUCGUGUAGCUUAACUAUACGAAUUCCGGGUAGACUGUUAAACUUGAGACCGGGAGAAGUUAGAGGUACUCCUGGGGUAGAGGUGAAAUUCUGUAAUCCUAGGGGGACCACCAGUGGCGAAGGCGUCUGACUAGAACGGGUCUGACGGUGAGGGACGAAGCCCUGGGGCGCAAACCGGAUUAGAUACCCCCGUA
rnacentral:rRNA from 1 species